rnacentral:lncRNA from 1 species
GGCUAAUCUAAUCUAAUUAAACUUCCUUUCUGGAUCCCUGACUCAUUGUGAUUAAUUGGUCUCAGAUCGAGGGGAGCAGAGCCAGCCCAUUGCUGGAUAUCAAUGCUGGUGACCCAGAUGGGACCACAGCCUCUGCCGGUGGCUCGUCGACUUGGAGGAAGCUGUUUGGGGAUUUUUCCCCACAGCUGCUGGCAGCUUUUUCUUUCCCUUUUUUCCGCCCAGGAUAUUCCCCUUGUGGCUGCCUCACUAGCCGACUGCCUCGGGCAAAGAAUGACUGAUCCUAAGCUGAGGAGCUUGCGUCUGCAGCCAGGGGAGUCAUCCGGCCUCCACCUCCCAGGCACAGGCUGACCACAGGCGAGAAACACACCUACAAGGUAUCCAUUGCAGCUGACGGGAAGAAUGGAGCAAUGUGAUGCCUGGAGCCCAGCAUCCCUGGACCCCUCCUCAUGGCCCAUUUUCCCUCUCUAACUGCCUCAAGAUUCUGGAGUCCUUGCAGAUGGCUUUUUGAGACAUUAGUCACCUGUCUUCUGAUCUGCCAGCUGAUCUGAUCUAAUUAGACUUCCUCUCUCGAUCCCUAACUCACUGUGAUUCAUUGGCUCAGAUCACAGCAAGCAGGGGCUUCCAGUCUCAGAUUGUUUUGCCCCAGUGCUGUCCUGGAACUUCUCUGCUGGACUCCUUGACUCCCACGAGGGCCCUCUCCUCCACAGGUUACAGCGUUGCUGGUCCAGUCUGACCUGCUGACUCUGCCCACUACACGGUGGCUUUUGCAACUGUCUUCAGUCUGACGGUGAAGCACCUUUUAUUGCAAACUCACUCAACACUGGACUAACAGUCCAGGUGGGCCUUCCCUGCUCCC